AGGAAGUUGGGUGAGACCAGGCUGGUCUGAUCCUCCCUGGCCCACUCACCAGGGUCCCCUGCUCAGCAGAGCCUCAGUGACUGGCCUAAAGAGGCUAUGGGUGAAGGAUUGUAGGGAGUCAGAAAGACAAGGGGAGCAUUGGACAACACAGGAAGUCCCUCUGGCCACCUUCUGAAGGUGGGGACCAUUCAUGAGAAAUCCGGAGGACGCCCUCAGUCCUUGUGCAGCACCAGGAAGAAACCGACUGGCCCAGGGCCACCCCUGAGUCCGCAUCAUCACGCAGGGUCCUUCAGCUGAGCCCCUGUUGUAUCCGCAGAUGAACAUCCGCAGAUCCCUGUCCCCUGGUAACUGACGGACAGCACAGGGUCCUGGUGGCCCAUGGACGCCACCUCAUGCCUCCUUUCCGAGGCCACCUAGCCGGCGAGGCCCGCCACGGACACACCGUGAGCACGCGCAACGAGCAGGGGUCGGUGAUCGCCAUCCCCCGUGUCCGCCUCCCGCGUUCCCGUUCCCGCGGCCGCCCCGCGCUCCUCCGGGCUCCGCCCCCGCCCGGCCGGCGCCCAGUCUCCCGGCAGCGCGUAGCGCUGCAGCCUCUUCAGGGCUGGGCAGAAACAGAAACCGAAAAUCCUCCUCUUAUCGGGAUUCUAGCUCACCAAACACUUCGAAUUGUGUGGUAGAAGAGCCGUAGUUCCUUCUAAAUAAAGUCGAACCCAUGUAAGGUCUGGGUUCUGAGAUCAUUUUGCCCUCUGGCAGCUCACGAGCACCACCGGGUCGCCGCCUGCCCUCUGUUCAGCCCGUGAGGGGCGGGGGACUCUGCCCUUCGCUCCUCCUGGUCUCUGUCCUCUUCCCUAAGAGUUUCAUUCCGUCCGGAGCCACAAGCCGCCCUGCCUUCUGCACCUCCCCGGAGGCUGAAGCCCUUAAGCCUGCCCCGCACCCUAAGGCCCUGCAGGACACUCCUGCUGUCCUUGCGGGGCACACUGAUAUGACUCGAUGCUGAGCAGUUGAAAGGAUUAAAAAAUAGUGGGCAAACGGCAAAAACGGGUGGCAUGGAGUGAAUUAGAAGACACGAGACUUCAGAGAAGUGCGUUUCAUGCACAGAAGUUUGUCAAUGCCCCCCACCCCGAAACCCAGUCUCCCUGAGUGAGGGAGAGGGGGCUUCACCUUCCCUUUCGUUUCACUUUGAGCCCCAACUGCUGGACUGCAACAGAACGACCCUACAGGCUCACUAUGUUUCACAUUCUGGGGAUUCCUGGUGGCACCUUCCUGUGUUCACCAGUGGGUCCCCGUUAGACUUGGGGCUGUCACCUGACAUAUGGAACCAGGCAGCUCCAUGUUGGAUGCCUCCACAAGCAUGGAACUAAGGCUGCGGGGUCAGACCUACCCUCAGAAAGGAGGAGGAAUGUCUUUCGAGCUGUGGUCGGCCUGGGGUCUCCUUGUGAGCCUCAGGGUGCCAAGGAGGCAGGGCUGAACACCACCAGGAGCGGAGGGAGCCUGGUGGCUGGGGCUGGAGCCAGGAAAGGCUUGAAUGAACAAUGCAGCCUUUUACCAAGUCUGCACUCCUAAUGUUUCUGCAAACCUCCAUAUGUCUAUUACUUUUACCAUGGUGAGCUGGAAUGGCCCGCAGACUGUCCUAGAUCUUAGGACUGCCAGGUGAUGCAUGUGUGGCGAGGGAAGGAGAUACCUGGUGGCCCCUCCAGAUGGUCUCCACCAGCACCUGCUGGGCAGCAGCUUCUGCUUCUUUGGGCUUGCAAGUGGGUGCUUCUAUGAAGAGGAGGGUCCCUGGCAGGUUCCUCAGUAUUGCUGAACAGAAUAAAGGAAGCGCAGGGUUGG
rnacentral:lncRNA from 1 species